rnacentral:rRNA from 1 species
UGUAAGCGUAUACCAAAGUUGUUGCAGUUAAAACGCUCGUAGUCGGAAUUUGGCAGUUCCGGAAGUGUGCACGUCGUGUGCGCACUUUGCGGGGACUGCUUUUGUGGUCUUGCGUAGGAUGAGGCACUUUCAUUAGUGAACGUCCUCACGCAACCACUAUUUACUGUGAGAAAAUCAGAGUGCUCAAAGCAGGCAUUUGCCGUGAAUGUAUUAGCAUGGAAUAAUAGAAUAGGACUCGGUUCUAUUUUGUUGGUUUGUUGGGACUGAGUAAUGAUUAAGAGGGACAGUUGGGGGCAUUUGUAUUCCGGCGCUAGAGGUGAAAUUCUUAGAUUGCCGGAAGACAAACUGCUGCGAAAGCGUCUGCCAAGGAUGUUUUCAUUGA